GACGAACGCUGGCGGCGUGCUUAACACAUGCAAGUCGAACGGAAAGGCCCUGCUUUUGUGGGGUGCUCGAGUGGCGAACGGGUGAGUAACACGUGAGUAACCUGCCCUUGACUUUGGGAUAACUUCAGGAAACUGGGGCUAAUACCGGAUAGGAGCUCCUGCUGCAUGUUGGGGGUUGGAAAGUUUCGGCGGUUGGGGAUGGACUCGCGGCUUAUCAGCUUGUUGGUGGGGUAGUGGCUUACCAAGGCUUUGACGGGUAGCCGGCCUGAGAGGGUGACCGGCCACAUUGGGACUGAGAUACGGCCCAGACUCCUACGGGAGGCAGCAGUGGGGAAUAUUGCACAAUGGGCGGAAGCCUGAUGCAGCAACGCCGCGUGCGGGAUGACGGCCUUCGGGUUGUAAACCGCUUUCGCCUGUGACGAAGAGUGAGUGACGGUAAUGGGUAAAGAAGCACCGGCUAACUACGUG
rnacentral:rRNA from 1 species